rnacentral:rRNA from 1 species
AACGCUGGCGGCGUGCCUAACACAUGCAAGUCGAACGGAACGAAAAAGAGCUUGCUCUUGGCGUUUAGUGGCGGACGGGUGAGUAACACGUGAGUAACCUGCCUUCAGAGGGGAAUAAUGUCUGGAAACGGACACUAAUACCGCAUAAUGUAUUUUAACCGCAUGGUUGAGAUACCAAAGGAGCAAUCCGCUGAAAGAUGGACUCGCGUCUGAUUAGCCAGUUGGCGGGGUAACGGCCCACCAAAGCGACGAUCAGUAGCCGGACUGAGAGGUUGAACGGCCACAUUGGGACUGAGACACGGCCCAGACUCCUACGGGAGGCAGCAGUGGGGGAUAUUGCACAAUGGGCGCAAGCCUGAUGCCAGCAACGCCGCGUGCAAGGAAGACGGUCUUCGGAUUAGUAAACUGUUGUCCUCUGUGACGAUAAUGACGGUAGCAGAGGAGGAAGCCACGGCUAACUACGUGCCAGCCGCGGC